CACAUGCAAGUCGAACGGGCACUUCGGUGCUAGUGGCAGACGGGUGAGUAACACGUGGGAACGUACCUUUCGGUUCGGAAUAAUACAGGGAAACUUGUACUAAUACCGGAUACGCCCUUCGGGGGAAAGAUUUAUCGCCGAUUGAUCGGCCCGCGUCUGAUUAGCUAGUUGGUGAGGUAAUGGCUCACCAAGGCGACGAUCAGUAGCUGGUCUGAGAGGAUGAUCAGCCACACUGGGACUGAGACACGGCCCAGACUCCUACGGGAGGCAGCAGUGGGGAAUAUUGGACAAUGGGCGCAAGCCUGAUCCAGCCAUGCCGCGUGUGUGAUGAAGGCCUUAGGGUUGUAAAGCACUUUUGUCCGGGAAGAUAAUGACUGUACCGGAAGAAUAAGCCCCGGCUAACUUCGUGCCAGCAGCCGCGGUAAUACGAAGGGGGCUAGCGUUGCUCGGAAUCACUGGGCGUAAAGGGCGCGUAGGCGGACUCUUAAGUCGGGGGUGAAAGCCCAGGGCUCAACCCUGGAAUUGCCUUCGAUACUGAGAGUCUUGAGUUCGGAAGAGGUUGGUGGAACUGCGAGUGUAGAGGUGAAAUUCGUAGAUAUUCGCAAGAACACCAGUGGCGAAGGCGGCCAACUGGUCCGAUACUGACGCUGAGG
rnacentral:rRNA from 1 species